UUUCCCCUAGUAGGACGUCGCGAUCCGUUGGGCGUCGGUCUAAGGCCUGCGGUGGAGCUCGCGUGGACGUUUCGGCGUUCCGCACGAACCCGCAGUGUCCCGAUCGACACGCUCGACGGUAUAAAGAUGGCGCGGGGCCGCUACACAGUUAGCGUUCGGCCUACGGCAAGCACGUGCGGUGUUUGAUGGCGAUCAGACCUAGUCGGAUCCCGUCCCCGGACGACUGUUGGCACGUAGUGUUCUCGAACAGACCUCGUUGAAACGCCGAUCUGCGACGCUAUGC
rnacentral:rRNA from 1 species